AGGGAGGCGGGGUCCUCUUGGGCACCCGGUCUGUUGCGGCUGUCCCGGGGGGGGCAGCCGGGAGCGACCGGAAGGAGAGUAGGUUCCGACCCGGGGACAGCGGCACUAGCGCCUGGGGAUUCGGAGCACAGAAGACAGAAGCCGACCGUCUCGGCCGCGUACCGGAGCCCCCGUCCCAGCAGCUUGGCGAUUGGAAGCCGUAAUAGCUUCCAGAGUCGCGGGAAGUGUUUCCGGGUAGCGCAGGUGACCUCACAGACGUUGGCAAUACAUGAUGCACAGUGGCCACACGGAGAGGAGACACAAAGCAGAUAUGUAAAGCCCAGCAGACAUGCGUACAGGUAGAGACGUUGCCAUUGUACCUAGGGGGUAACUGACAGUCAAACGGUACUUUGUGGUGUAAAAGAAAAUUCCCCUAGACUAAAUUAAUGACACAGAAAGCAGUUUUCUUCAUCAUCAGACUCAUUCUCCUCUCACUGAUGAGGUGUCUUGGGCACAGAGAGGUUAGGUCAGCUCCCCCACGUCAUUCAGGUCAUACUUGUUUGAAUCCCAAAGGCAAGGAACAUUCAGCCCGUCCAAACUAAGCCAUCCACCCCGAGUCCCUACACACAUCUGCACCUCCUCUAGUGUUUGCCUGACUCAGUGCAAGGCAGCCUUCUCCCCGGCUGCUUUGGCCAGAGAUCCUUACAGUCAUCUGUGCCUGCCGCCUCUGUCUCACCAUCCCCUCGGGCACCAAGCCCCGCCUUUCUGCUCCUAAGUCUAGGCAAGAUCUUGCCACUUCUCUCCAUCACCACAGUGAGAUCCCUAGUCCAGGUCACCCUCAGCUCUACCCUGCACGACCACCACCAAUCCUGAUCCUUUGCCACCCUUUUUCCAUUCCACUGCCCGAGGAACCUUUCUGAAGUCCUAAUCUAGGAACGCCACACCUGUUCAAACCUCUGUGGGGGCUGUCCGCUGCUCUAGGGAUAGUGUCCGGCCUCCUGGACUAGGCACAUCAGGAGUCGCGUGCCCCUGAGUGCCUGAUCCUCACCGGACCCCUCCUGCUCCAUUCCCCCCACUUGACAUUCCAACCACCCCAAACCCUUUCUGUACCUCACAUGGCCAGUGUGCUCACAAUCGUUCCUGCUGACCACUCCCAGACUGCACAUCCUCACAGGUGCUGUUCCCGCCAUCCUCAUCUGCUGGUUUCCUUCUUCGGUUCGGUGUCACGUUGGGUGGUGCAAUUUCCAUUUUACCUGGGCCGCACCUGGAUGAGAAGUCAGUUAACUCCUACUUUUAUAGAAUGGGAUGUGGUGGGGAUUUCUUGUUGAAUUCCCCAAAUCAAAACAAGGUUUACUGUGGUUCACAGUGAGCUGAGCUGAAAUGCAAUCUGAUGCCUGCCUUUUUUGGGAAAAGCUUCCUUGCUAAUAAGCACAGGGGACAGAUGGCAAAGGUCUCUCUGCUUAUUGUAUUUGGGCCCACUUUUGCCUUUGAACAUGGACUUUGGAAUCAGAUCACAAUUUUGGAACUAUCAAUGGAUCCAGGGUGAUCACCUGCCUGACAGUGAGGAGGGAUAACCCAGAACAUGGGAGAUACCUGUCACUUUAUGGUGUCUGUGACCCAGUAAAUGGAACAGGCCCGAUCUGCUCUGCCCAUGGACUUUGUUUUGAUGACACGUUCACUAUUUCCCACUCGAUUUUAUAGUCGGAGUUCUCUGUUAGGACAACAGAAAGUACAGUAACUUUCCUCUCUUUGCAGUGGAGCUGAUUUUCUAGUUCUUGGGGCCCUGAGGGUGGCAGGGAUCAGCUGCCUGCUCAGGAUGGGGGGACCCUCCAAGGUCAUGUGCCAGUGCCUUCCUGCAGCUCCUCAGGUGUCUGCACAGGGUGCUGUCAACCCCUGGAGGCACCCAGACGAUCCAGUUCCUAGAAGGUCCGGGAGAGAGAGUGUGUAGGUUCUACCAGCUACACACUCAGCUGUGAGGAUCCCCUUCAUUCACUACAACUCCUCUAAGCAGAACACACCUAAGUAUGAAAUGAAGCGUGUGUCUCUGAUACGUAAGGUCAAAGAAAAAGAUGGAAAUGGCACCACCCCCCUACCCCACAGCCACCCCAGUCAGAGGGUGGAGUAGACUCCUGGGGCCGUGGCCUGGAUCCCUCCACACUGAUGUGUCCCUAACAGGGGUGCAGUGUAAACGGCUCUUCCUCAAGCCUGGCUCUUGAGCUCAUGUGAGCAGGGCAGACACGGUUUUAUUUCCCCAAGGGCCAGAGAGGUAAGUAUCAACCCACCGCCUUCCACAGACAAGGAAAUAAGCUCAAAGAGGUUAAGUCGCUGAUGCAGUGGAGGGUGGAUCUGGGAGUCACGCCCCGGGUCUGUCAGACUCCUGAGCCAGUCUUCUUUGCCGUCACUUCACAACAAACUUGGUUUGGGUUUUUGUUGCUGAGAUGCAGAUACUGUUCCAUGAUGGGACAGUCACUGUUGUCCCAGUACCGUGUCCACCGGUGACGUCCAGGCACCCAGCAGGGCAAAGGCACCGUGAAUGGCUCUCAGACCCUCUCUGUGUCGCCUUCAGGGGAGCUGCUCUGAAGCCCAGAGACCUGGAGUCCACUGGUGGGAAGGGCCUGCCUCAGAGCCAACAGGCAGGCAGGACGUUGACUUUCCCUGCAGGGAGGCACUGCACCAUGCCAGAGAGGCUUUGCCAUCACCCCCCAGGCCCGGUUACGGCCCAGUUAGGACUCGACCCGUCUCCCUCUGUUUAGCAGAUACUAGGAAUUGAGAGGCGAGCAGAGGCAGAGGAGGUGCUUUCAGUGGCUGCAUGGCCUCUCGGGAGGUGACCCAGCCGCCAUGGUGGUCUGGAGCCCAAAGACUGAGAAUGGAAAAUGGCUGCACUGGUUUUGCUGUCGGUGCCCUUCAGCCUGUGUGUCUGUAAACUGGAAGAUCACGGUGCCUCCCUCAGGAACCUCCCCACCCUUGAGAAGUGUGUCUUGACCAAACACCCACAACCCCUCCCCCUGAUACUUUGGCAGGGGUCAGUGCCCUCCUCUGUGUUCCUAGGUUUCUAGGACUUAAAUCCCGCCAUCACUCACACAACAGGUGGCUGUCAUCUGCUUGCAGGUUCCAGCCCACAUCAUCCCUACAUCCCCAAACUAGGCCCAGGAGGCUGAGAUGUAGUGUCUUGGCGGUGCUGAGACUGUUUCCUCAAUGAACAAAGGACCCUGACUCCAGGUCUAUUGUUAAUAAAAGGCGGCUCUUCUUGAGCCAGUUAUUUCUGCGUAAAAAUGACCCAGGAGAAUGGGGUAACGAGGACAUCUGUGGAGUCAGUCUCUUCCCUGUGAGGGGAGGAGGACUGCAUCUGUCAUACCCGCCUCUUUCCGGAAACUCCUAAUACACGCGGCCACAAUGCCUACUACACACGUGUGUGUCACUCUGGUACCUCCACUGCCCGCAGUUCUGCCCUCACAGUUGAACCUGGGUCACGAUGCUUGGAGCAACUGUACUGAAUGUUUCCUAAGCAUCAAGCGGCCAGUGCUCAGCGUGGGUGUUGCAAGCAUGUAGCCAGUGGAUGGGCUGUUGAAUGAACCUGGCCAAGGCAGAUCUGGUGGGAAUGCUGGGAGAAGCUGCCACAGAAGCAGCCACGUUGAAAAAAAGGCUGGAGAGCUUUUUUCCCUUCUUGCCUCGCUCGGGUUUAUCUGAAGCUUUCUCCGUCCCAGAAACAGAUUUGUGUCCUCCCAGUUGUAGGAGAGAGCAAGUCAAACUUUUAACAUUUUUGGCUGACACGAAGGUCACCUUUCCAAGGCCUGGACACACACCCCCCCCCCCCCCGCCUGGGCCUAGAGGAAAUAACAAACACCAAAGUCCGGUGCUCAUGACAGGUACCCCCUCACAUCAGGCAGCUCAGCAAAGCAGCCCAGGGAUGCAGUGAGCUAACCCUCUGAUGCGGGAUUUCUUGGUCCUCUUUUUGGCCACACGCAUUGCACAUGGAAUCUCCCAGGCAGGGAUUAAACCCUUGCCGCAGCUGUAUCCAGAGGCACAGCAGUGACACCACCAGAGCCUUAACCCGCUGAGCAACCAGGGAACUUCUGGAUCUUUUCCUUUUAACUUAGUAAGGAACGGUUACCUCUCACACCCGUCAGUGGCUCAGUGCUGCUCUAUAGCAUGGGUACAUCCAUAGUCACCGAGCAUGAAAGGAUCAUCAUCCUACCGCUUCGUCCACCCUUCAAACGAGGCUUUCACUGCAUAUCAAUGAGGCAGGAGCUCACUGGUGAAUCUCAUGGCUGCCCCCACUGUUUCAGACGUCCAAAACCACUCUUGCUUUUGGUGAAUCCCUAGGAGGGCUCACAGGACCCAGCAUACAGUCAUCCCCAUGGCUAGGAAUCAGUACUGCAAAAGGAUAGAAAGACAAACAGCCAGGGGGAGUGGUGCACUGGGCAUCAUCCAGAGGAAACCAGCGUACGCUUUCGAGAGUCCUUUCUCCCUAGAGUCACACAAUCUGUCCCUCCAGCAACGAGCCAUGACAGCUCCUUCAAACACUGUCUGCCAGAGAAGCUCAUGAGAAACCCAGGGCCCAAGCUUUUAACUGGGGACUGGUCCCUCGCACACUCUCUGCCCAGCACGUACCAGGAUUCCAGGGUCCCGGGAGGCAAGCAGGCGUUUAGCAUCGAACAUAUUGUUUGGACAGUUUCGGAAGAGGAACCUACCCUUCUCGGGGAGGGAACGGUGGGAAACCACCUGAAAUCCAAGUUCCCGGAUGCAAGGUAAGGUCAACAAGCUACAGUUUCUAAGGAUUAUCGGCUCCAGCCUGCUACGUUAUAUAUAUGCAUAUAUAUGUGAGUGAAAUAAGUCAGAGAGAAAGACAAAUAAUGCAUGUUCUCUCUUACAUGUGAAAUCUGAAAACGUCUAGGUUACAGAAAUAGAGUUUAUUUAUUUAUCUUUGAUAGGCAAGAAAUAGAUUUAUUAAGAUAGGACGCUUAUGAGAGAUGUAAGCAGGCAGGCAUGGAAGCUCUACCAGAAGUAGAGUUUGGAAGGGUGCUUGCGAGGGGCUGGGGGAAAUGGUGGUCAAAGGGUACAAACUUCUAGCUAUAAGAUGAAUAAGUUAUGGGGAUCUAACGUAGAGCAUGGUGACGAUACUUAAUAUUGUAUUAUGUACUGAAAAUUAAGUGGCACAGUGAGUUAAGGAUCCAGUGUUUUCACUGCCAUGGCUCGGGUGGCUGCUGUGGAGUGGGGUCGAGCCCUGGCCCAGGAACGUCCGCUUGCUUCAGGAGCA
rnacentral:lncRNA from 9 species